rnacentral:lncRNA from 1 species
AGAAAGCCUCCUACCCUAACAUUCCUGCCCUUCCUUUCCAUUAAACCUAAAAGACAAGGUCACUAUUUUGCUGAUGUUUACCUGUCAAAGAUAAUUCUCAGGUCCUAGAGAAAGACAUUUUAAUUUUAAAGUAAUGCUGUAAUAGAUAUCAGAGGCCUAGAAUCCAGAAAGAAAUCUGUUUCUUCAAGUUGAAGAUUCUGGAGGAUUGAAAUCGUCAGAAUCUUUUGCCAGAUGUUCUAUCAUUAACUCAAGAGCAGAGGACAAAGACUUCUCCUGCUCCUGUUGCCUCAGCUGUCCCUGGGGUCUGCCUCAGCUCUACCUCCCCUCAGCUCUAUCUCUGAAGUAUAGCCACCAAGAAGGACUGUACUGAAUGCAGUGGGUUCAUUUCUUGGGGUUUAUUAUCGGUCAGGACCCAAGCCAAGCAUCAGACUCGAGCCUCCACUGGGGGAAGACAGACAUGUUUUAUACACCUUUGAGGCCAACAGUUUCUAGGCCCCCCUAUGGGAUAGAAGUAAAAGGUAAGCAAAAGGUACAGAAGCAGAACAUCCUGCUGUUCGAACAUUUGUAAAACAAUAGUUGAUUAAUUGUUAUUUCUAAAGAGACUUUCUAAGGGGAGG